rnacentral:rRNA from 1 species
UACGUAGGGUGCAAGCGUUGUCCGGAAUUAUUGGGCGUAAAGAGCUCGUAGGCGGUCUGUUGCGUCGGCUGUGAAAACCCAGGGCUUAACCCUGGGCUGGCUUCCGAUACGGGCAGACUAGAGGUAUGCAGGGGAGAACGGAAUUCCUGGUGUAGCGGUGAAAUGCGCAGAUAUCAGGAGGAACACCGGUGGCGAAGGCGGUUCUCUGGGCAUUACCUGACGCUGAGGAGCGAAAGUGUGGGGAGCGAACAGG